CACUGCACUUGGCUUAAUAGAGCUCUCAGUCAGCAUAUUCAAGAGAUUUUUUUUUCUUGUGAAUAUAGUGUUAUGAUUUGAAUCCUCUGUGACUGAUUUAGGUUUUAUUUAAUUUUUUUACUGCAGUGUUGUAUUGUAACAAGUGAUGGGAAGAUGAAGUUUCAAAUUUGCUUCAUGAACCAGUAGUUUUUGACUCUUCUGUA